UGGCCAGUCUGCUAGGACCAUCA
rnacentral:siRNA from 1 species